GCGGGGGUGGUGAAAUGGCAGACACGCAGGUCUUAGAAGCCUGUGCCCGAAAGGCGUGAGGGUUCAAGUCCCUUCUCCCGCA
rnacentral:tRNA from 1 species